GUCAACAAAGUCCAAAAAGCAGCACGAGGGAGAGGACGACAGACGCCAUUAAUGGCUGCAUCAAUCUUCACUCCCCUUCUCAACACAACGAAGACGAUUUAUACAUCAUCUUCAUAUCUUCCAUAUCUCCAAUCCAACACAAUCAAAAUCACACCCAAAUCCAGAACAGCGGUCAAAAUCAAGGUCUCCAAUCGUCGGUCUUCGAUUCCCACCGCCUCCUUUUCCGACCCAUUUGUUAUCGAAGUUGCCGAGACCUUAGAAGAUGCAAUCUCCACCGAAUCUGCCUCCCCCCCACCGCCUCUUCCUCUUCAGAAGCUUCGAGACGCAUCUUCUCAAUCUCUCCUCUCAACUCCAUGGCCUUCUCGCAAAGACGAGCCUUUUCGAUUCACCGACACAUCUCUCAUCAGGAACGCACAAAUCGUCCCCGUUUCUUCUUCGCCGCCACCGUCAUUGACUGAUUCAGAAGGUACCCAAGUUCCCAAUCUUGUUCUAAUCGAUGGAUACAUUAUCAAUUCUCUCUCCCAAUUACAGGAAUUGCCCGAUGGGGCAUUUAUCGGAAGCUUAUCCACGAAAGAUUUAAUGAAGAAAGUGUCUGAAUUUAUGUCGAGUUUCAAUGGAGACUUGUUUUGGAAAAUCAAUGGAUUGAGAGUCCUCUGCAUUUGAGAAAACCGUAUGCCAUUAUCGAAUCCUAGAGCUGUUGAGAGGUUGAUUUGAUCGAGGAGUAUGUUGGAGGAGCUGGGCGACCGCGAUAGAAUACUAGUGUUAAUCAAGGAAAAGGAAAUCAGAGUCUUGAAGCUCCGUAUUAUUGUUAGCUUAUCAACAACCUUAGCUGCGCCCUCGCUGAAAAAAUCGAAGACAACAAAGCAUGAGAAGCUCAUAAAGUCGUCGAGACUUCUUGGAGGUUUAAUUUUCUGCUCAGCUGAAAUUCGACAUUGGUUUAGACUAUGAAUAAAUCUUACAAUACAUUUCAGACUACAAUACUAUUCUGACCCUAACAAACAUGUAGUGCUCACUAACACCUUUCUUGAAAUUCAAUUCACUUAUUCAUUCA